GGCCAGAGUGCUUAACUUGUCUACUGACCUUGCUUUGGACGAAAGUUCUCAAUUGCUUUGUCUAAUGCUGUCAGAGUGAAGAAUACAUGACAGAGAACGACGAAGAGUUCGAUGGGGAAGACCUAGAGGUAAUUUUCAGAAGGUCUCGAUGAAUAUCCAACUCGAAAAUGUAUGGAGAGAUCUUAGGACAACUCAUGCUGAGACAGCUUGUUCCACUUCUAAAAUAAAACGGGGAGAAAAA